CUCUUUCCUCCAUCAUCUUACUUUUUGUGUUAUUAGAUAUGUGUUCAUAAGAUGAUGUCCCAUUUCAAAUGGAAUUCUCGGUUUUCUCCUUUUAUGCUUUGUUUCAUUUUCAAAUUGUGUUUCAAGCUGCUCCAAAAUUGCUGGGUAAAAUUCAACUCCUUUUGUCAGCAGGAAUAACUCUAAUAGUUAUAAAGUGACAGAGAAGAACUUUAGAAAAUGCAUUUGCAAGUCAAAAAGGAUGUCUUAUUGUUUACUGUUGAUUACUCAGGCUCUCUCUCUCCACUCUUUUAUUUAAAUAUAGAUAGCUUUUAUUGUUUCUUACAAAAUAGUACUAAAUUGCAAAAUCUUCUAUUGUUGCAAAUUUCCCUUGUUUAUAUGUCCAUCUUAAAAGGUAUUUCUCUCUACCUCUCAUUCCUCAUUUUAUUCAUGGAGUUCCCUACUACUUGAUCUAUAUUACUGAUAUUGUACUUAGUAAGUUUCAGUGUUCUUUUUGUGUGUGUUCUCUGUGCUAAGCUUUUAAAAAUAACUUUUUAUUUAAAGGCAAAGACCACCCUUUUUCCAAAUCAUUCCAAGGCUUAAUAUACGUACGGGAUCUUGCAUAAGAUGCUCAACAAUGACAAUAAUUUUCACCAUGUCUGGGAAUAAUAAGGUGUCAUAUAUAUUGAGAAGGACUUUUCAAAUAAUUUCUUCAAGGGAUAAAUACCUUAACCAAUUCAAAGAUUCUAGUUAUAUACAUGAAAUAUAUAGUGUAUAGUGCUUAAUAGGUAUUUUAAAAACAACAUUCUGAUACUUAACCUUAUUUCUGCAUGCCUAACCCUCCCCUCCCUCUACCUUCCAUUACAUACAUGUUUUGCUUCAAAAUAGCUUUCUGUAACUAAGUAGUAUAUUUUCACCUUAAUUUCACAAGUAACUGAAAUAUUGAUUUUCUAGCUCUCCUUUCCUCAGGUACUUUCAGUAUUUCUGAAACAGCUGCUUUCUGACAUUAGUCUUAUACCAAAGGUGCCAAAAAUUUGCCCUAACAACAUGGAAAAGUCAUUUUCAAGGGUUGCCAUCCUUCAUCUUAGUACCACUGAGUAUGCCGAUAAAUAUAGAAAUGUUAUAGAUCAUCAUCAGUACUCUAUCCAUGAUCUCUAACAGUAACUGAAGGGAGAAUGAGCACGAUACUUGCAGCUGUGGUAAAUUUUCAGUUUCUAUGUAGUGAAUGACCUCCCGAUACUUAAAGAGCUAGUCAAGCAGCAGUGAUCCCUUGGGGAGGGUGUCGAAAGGUAGAAGCAUGAUGUAUGUACUCGGUGCGUUCCUUUCUCAUCCUGGAGUUUCUCCUGGGCUGGUUGUGAUUUUUUUUUUUUUUUUGUUUCAUUCAGUGGAAUCUUCAGUGUGUGUGUGUGUGUAUUCUGCUGACUGGGUGGUAUAUGAAGCAUUGUGAUGGAUAAGAAGUAGGGACCUCUGGGCUGAGAAAGAAGAAACACUUCACAGCAACUUUUGUAACACAUCACCCAACAUGAUGGCAUCAAAAAACAAAACAAAAUAAAAAAAAAAGCACCAUGAAAGAGAAGGGCUCAGUUGAGGGCAUACUGCUGUCCUAGUCUACAAUAACUGGGGAAGGGUUGGUGCAAGAGGAGACAUGGCAGGACAGAAAGGAGGGAGGGCAUGUGAGGUCGUUCAGUCCUGGGAAAGACUCAGAGCAAGAACAGGUGUCUGAAUGGUUGAGCUUGUGUGCGUCGGUUAAUCUAAAGAAAGAACAGAAAUCAUCCAAAGUGAUUACGUGCGCACACGGGCAAAUUUUGUAGAAACCUUAUGAAAAUAUUCUCGUUGAAAAUUCAGGGUAAGUUCCAAUUCUUGUCGCAACUUUUCCUGUCUUAUUCACUAUUCCCAUGGCAACAACUUCACUUAACAUAUAUUUAUAUAAAAGGCAACAUUACUUUGAAUUAAAACUGCUAGUCAAAUAUCCAGUUCAGUUGGAAAUACAUCAAAUGUAGACUUUCAUCACAAUAUUAGUGAUGGUGGCAGGAUAAAAUUUAGGGGACAUUUUUCAUAGAUAUUAAUUACUUAUGUAAUUCUGUGAACAUCCCAGUGUAAAUAGGUACUGUUCAUAUUCAAAUGGACAGGUGUGGAAGUGGAGGCCAGGAAAGGCUUAGUUCAUAUUGUAGACUCAGUAUUCAGUCAGUGUGGUAUAAUCGCCCAUAGGUCAGUGUUUACUUUAGAAGUGUUGAUUACUAGAAAGUUUUGUGGGAUAUUUAGUUUUCCAAGCUUAAGACUACAAAUGACUCCAAGACUGCCAUGUUUGGCUCUCUGUGUAUUAAAAAAAUAAAGUAAAAAACCCACAAACACAAUGUCACAAAGGAACUGUCCCAUGAGAGCUAAUUAUAUUGUUCUAGAACUUAAUAGGUUUAGUGUGCUUAUUCACUGGAACUUUGCUAUGCAGACAUCAAACAUAAAUUGCAUGUUAUGAUUAAAUGCUCCCAAGCUGAAAGAUAGAGGCUUUGCUUGAUACUCAACAUGUAUUGAAACAUUCAACAAAUAUUUUGUUGACAAUUUCCAAAAUAGUACAUAAUGCUUCAAGAGGUAAAAUGUUUUUUGGCAUUCCUUUUUAAGGUUAGUAUAACACAUUCGUGAAGGAACUGUAAAUACUGUUUCUUCUUUUUAAUAGAUGAGAGCAUUGAACCCAGACAGGGUUCGUUUAAUUGGCAAAACUAGAAGUAAAAUUUCUUUAUUGUAGAUGACCAUGCUUCUCAUAUAGAAAUUAUUGCUUCAUUCAAAUGGGCAUUUUAAACAAUUUUACAUAAUACCAAAUAAGAUAAUUUCAUAGCAGUUUAGUGCAUGUAGUUUCUGAGAUACAUAAUUGGGUCAUUUUCAAAAAUAUAAGCAGUUGUUCCCCGAUUCCUUCUUUAAGCAAGGACCCCAAAGUUCUCAGUCUGUGAUGUCAUCUUUAGUUCUCCAUUACUUCUCUUUUCCUAGGAACAAAUCUCCAUGAAGGUUUUGUGAAAAGUCAGAACUGAGCUCCCCUUUGCUGGGAGUUGGCACUUGAUCUCUAUUCCCUCUGUUCUCAGCGCCCCUCAUCUUCUGAAUGUUCCACUGCCUGUCCAGGAGCAUAAGCAGGAAACUGGAUCAGAAGCAGAGCCAUAUGGACUCAAACCAGUGCUCUGAUACGGGCGUACCUGCUUUACACACUGUAUUAGAGUUGUUCCCAGACUGUGAUUAUAUGUAUUUAUAUAUAUACACACAUACGCGCACAUACCCCGUGCAGGGCCAAUGUUCAUCUAACAGCUCAGCAAAAUCAGGCCCCGUGGAUUUGAAAACAGACGCAUCCCAGAGUCCCACUAUCCUAGAAACUUACUUUCCUGUAUCCUACACUUUUUCUCCCCCUGGCCGUGUUUUCUGUUUUCCAACAAGUUAGUGUAGGCUCUUGGGAAGGGAAGCAGCUUUCCAUUUUAGCGCCUCUCUCCAUUCCUAGGAGUUGCUGUAUGCUUUUGUGUGUGUCCCAUUUUUUUCUGCAUUUGUUUAAAGUAAGUGUAGAAACUGGAAGUUGUGGGGCUAGACAUUUGGAAAUAAAUGAAAAAAAAUAUUAAUAUUCAAAAUAUAUGGUCUUCAAAUACUUUCAUUCAGGGUCUUUCAAGCUUCUUUAGCCUACAGUUAAAAUGUAUUUUGCAUGACAAGUUCUCCCUGGACUUUGAUUUAAUUGAUUUCCUGAGUUACUAGCGAAACCUGGAGUUUGAAAAACACUGCUGUAAUUAAACUUCUCCCUCAACUGUGUAGAUCAGGAUGAGAUUGGUCAGCAUGAUCUGCUCUAGGGCAGCAAAUUGGUAGACCUCCUUGGAACCACAUGAACAGUGUUCUCAGUCAAGGUGGAAGAUACAUCCUUCCUAUGCUGUCAAAUCCCAUAUGCCCAUCUUAGGAUCUGUAAAAUCACAGGUUAAUAUUCAUUCCGUUUAAUGUCUUUGCCUGUAAGAAAACCACACAGAUGAUUUCACCACAGGAUAGAUGUGAAAUCAGACUUUCUCUUAAGGCAAAAAGACCAUUUUCUGAAUUCACUUGCCUAAUUAAGUAAAUCAAAAUUACUUUUAACUUAAACAGUUCAUUUUAAUCCUUAUCCUGACUCAUUGCCUUGGGUUUCAGACUCAUCAGGUAGAAUUUGUCUGUCAAGUGUGUUUCUUUUCCUGGGUUUACGUGCAUGACAUUAAAUAAAUAGCUUGAACUUUUCAACUUGUGGAACAAUUGUGUCGAGUUGGUGUGGCUGAUCUAACCUGUGCCACCGUGAGCACUGCGUGGCACUGCAAGUGUCUUGGCUUGCAGUGACAGUGACUGAGUACAGGCAGAGAAGACUAAGCUAAAAAUAGUGAAUAAACAAAAGAAGACUCGCCCUGCUUUUAUAUAUACAAAAUAGGGACUAUAUAUAUAUACAUAUAUAUUUACAUAUUUACAUAUUUAUUCUGGUUUUCUAGGUUAAUACUAAUAAAACUAGGUUGGUACUAAUAAAAUACACAUUUAUUAAGAAAAUGAUUUCAUGUGAUAAAUAAUUCUUGCAAAAGGGAGAAAAGAUAGUAUAGAAAACCAAAGUAGAUGCUGUUUCAUAAUUGAUACUUGUGUAUUUUUAAUAUUUUGCUUGUGUUUCUUAGUUUAGAUUUUCCAUUUUUUCCUCUUUCUGCUAUCUCUUUCCUCACAUAUGGCUCCAGGACCUUCUCCAAGAAAGCAGUUUUGCUUGAUUUGAUUUCCUCCAGUAAAGGAUUUCUUGUACUAUUGGAUUUGCAAGAUCUCUGAAGUCAACCUCUGGAACUUGACUUCAGAAGCUCCAAAUGCAGAGAUAUUGCUCUAAUGUGCCAGAGCACGUGGGGGUAUAUAGUUCAUAGCCAAGGCACUGUCACCCAGGCUGACAGUUCCUGAACAUGCUGCAGACAACAUGCUUCAAAUUGAAAAUUAUUUCUGUCCUAUGAUAACUAAUUACCAUUAACCAAGUAAGAAAAACAUACACAAGCAUUGUAUUAAUACAUACAUGAAAUGAUGGUGUACGUAUAUGUACAUCUGACUAUUAAAAAGAAGAUCAUGUUGCAGGUUUUGAACAGCAGUAAGGUACUUAAAAUUUCAGCUCUACAAAAUAAAUGAAGUUUGAAAUUCAAUCAGUCUUAUUUUAUGUUGAGGCAAAUGUACUUGGCUUUUUUUGAGUAUCAUACCGUCUGCUCUGGUUUACAUAACAAAUUGGGUGAAAUGCUGUAAAGCAUUCGUUUUCAACUUUGCCAUUAUUAUAACACACCUUACAACCAAGGUUUGCAAACCAUCUACUUUCUAAACAAUUAUAAAGUAGAAUAGAUUCUGUGAUUUGUUUUUUUUUUUUCACUCGAUUGGAUUCUGAUAAAAUUUUAAGUAACUGAGAAGGGAGUGAGUGGAAUUUGCACAUGAUUUGUGGCUCCUUUGUUGUCACAGCUUUGGGUUUGCAAAACUUCCUAAUGUAAAUAAUGAUUAAGCUUGUGAAAUAUAUUAUUUUUAAGCCCAGUCCCCUACUCCCCAUGCACACAUACUCUGCCCAAAAUCUCCUCCGCAUUGUUUUGCUUUCACAGUAGUUUGGAACGAGAGGAAAUCCAGGGAAGGCAUCCAGAUACACGCCUCGCACCUCGGCAUAAUCCAUCACGGUCCUCAUUGUGUGGGGGGCUCUGGAGAUGGGGAACCUUAAAGACAGAUCCCUGAGCCGUGCAGACCCCAAGAGAAACCCGCAGCAUGUCACAGGCAUGAACCAUGUGGAAAAGUACAGCCUUGCUCUUACUAUCCUGCUGCUCUCAUGGCACUCAGACUUUGUCUUUUUGGCUAGGUACACUGUUGAUUCAAAAUCUAUUUUACUUUCUCAGAUUUAUGAGGAAAAAAAAACCACUAAAAUAUAUAAAUAUAAUUCUUAAAUUUUUAUUCAAGAAAAUAGUUUUAUUUUAAUAGCUGUCAUAUCAUAUACUUUCAGAUUAGUUGUUUUAAGACACCGCAUUUAAAUGAGAAGCCAGCUCUGAUAAUUUCUCAAGAUUUUCUGGUAUAUAGCAGGGCUCUUUAAGACUUUUUUUUUUUUACAUGUAGUGGGCUCUACAAAUAUUUAAUUCUCUCUCUUUUUCAACUUUAGGAAACUGGCUGAAAAUUGUAGAAUUAGACUGUGGAGCUGUGCAGUGUAUUUUUGAACUAUUACAAAUCUGUCUAAAUCUACAACCUGCUAGGAAGGAUCGAAUCUCUUCUGGCUUGUGAUUGUAAUGUAUGAUUUGUAUGGCCUCGAGUCUUUCCCACAAAUGCAUUUAGUAUUCUCUGAACCGAGCUUCUGUUCUGUGCCAAGCAGGUUUCUCACUGUGCAUGUUCAGGCCACUGAUUGACUGACUGAGAGCCAAAUUAUUCUCACUAACACAUACUCAACUCCCAACUACCACAGAAAAGAUGGACUCUGGGGCCAAGAUUGGACUUGACUAACAAAGCUCACUUUCUGCCCGUUGUAGUACUUACACAGUGAAUGAAAAUUCAGUGACCUAUAUUCUUCCAAAUUAAAACUCUUAAAAAUAUAAAU